UACGUAGGGAGCAAGCGUUGUUCGGAUUUACUGGGCGUAAAGGGCGCGUAGGCGGCAAAUUAAGUCAGCUGUGAAAUCUCCGAGCUUAACUCGGAACGGUCAGCUGAUACUGUGCGACUAGAGUGCGGAAGGGGCAACUGGAAUUCUCGGUGUAGCGGUGAAAUGCGUAGAUAUCGGGAGGAACACCUGUGGCGAAAGCGGCGCACUGGACCACAACUGACGCUGAGGCGCGAAAGCUAGGGGAGCAAACAGG
rnacentral:rRNA from 1 species